UACGUAGGGGGCAAGCGUUGUCCGGAAUCAUUGGGCGUAAAGAGCGUGUAGGCGGCCCGGUAAGUCUGUUGUGAAAGUCCAGGGCUCAACCCUGGAAUGCCGAUGGAUACUGCCGGGCUAGAGUUCGGAAGAGGCGAGUGGAAUUCCUGGUGUAGCGGUGGAAUGCGCAGAUAUCAGGAGGAACACCGAUGGCGAAGGCAGGUCACUGGGCCGCAACUGACGCUGAGGAGCGAAAGCAUGGGGAGCGAACAGG
rnacentral:rRNA from 1 species